UACGAAGGGGGCUAGCGUUGCUCGGAAUCACUGGGCGUAAAGCGCACGUAGGCGGUCUCUUAAGUCGGUGGUGAAAUCCUGGAGCUCAACUCCAGAACUGCCUUCGAUACUGAGAGUCUUGAGUCCGGGAGAGGUGAGUGGAACUGCGAGUGUAGAGGUGAAAUUCGUAGAUAUUCGCAAGAACACCAGUGGCGAAGGCGGCUCACUGGCCCGGUACUGACGCUGAGGUGCGAAAGCGUGGGGAGCAAACAGG
rnacentral:rRNA from 1 species